rnacentral:misc_RNA from 1 species
CCGAGUUUACAACUCCCAAACCCCUGUGAACAUACCACUUGUUGCCUCGGCGGAUCAGCCCGCUCCCGGUAAAACGGGACGGCCCGCCAGAGGACCCCUUGAACUCUGUUUCUAUAUGUAACUUCUGAGUAAAGCCAUAAAUAGAUCA